AAAAUAAAAUAGUAAUAGUAAUAAUAAUAAUAAUAAUAACAAUAACACCAGAAGGAAAAGCAGAGUGGGAAUACAGAUCAGUGGUUCAGGGUGUGGCUGCCUGACCAGAAGCAUCGGCAUCGCCAGCGAACUUGAAAAUGCAAAUUCUCAGGUCCCACCUCGGACCUGCUGCAUCCGCAACUCCAGGGGAGGGCCCACUAAUGUAUUUAACAAGGCCCCCAGGUGAUUCGGAUGCACACUCCGGUCUGAGAACCUCGAGGUUUAGGUGGAAAAGCUUCACCAGGAGUUGAUUGCUGAGGCUGAGAACUAAGUUCCUGUGUGAGGGGGUUCAUAGGCAUGUCUGAAAUUUCCUGUAGUAGUUAAAGGAAUAAUGAAGCCCACUGGGAGAGGGGAGAGUGUGUACGAUGGGGGACGGGUCAUAGCUGGACAGCCUCCGGAGCUAGCAGUGGACAAACGCAUUCUCUUGAAUGUCAUUCACAAGUACUGUGUUGGGGCCCGUGUCUUUAUUGCCUUUGGGAUUAAGUCCGGGCUAAUGGUUGCAUUAGCAGCAGGCUUUGACAGGGAGCUCUAACCCCUCUGGACCAACCCCAGCUCCUCAAGUUUCUCUGAGCAACUUCACCCCUUCCUUUGAGGCCCUAGUAAAGGUUCAGUCCUGGAACCUCAGCUCUCUCGAAGAAGCAACUAUUUUAAUUUUCAAUUUCCUACUAAAGCCGUGAGACUUUAAAAACAGCCACUCACUCGAACUGCUUUAUCAGCCACAGACAUGACGCAAUUAAUUAGCUGUACGCAGCCUCUCGCCACACAAGCUGCUUGAGUUCUAGCCCAUUGUAGUUCUGGUUUACUUAGCAGAUAUGGCCUAAGAGCCCGUAACUGUUUACCUCCCUCUGGAGGGGCUGUCCUGGGCAGACGAAUUCAUUAGUUGGUGUUUGCAGAGAGGCAGGAAUCCAAGGAAAGCAUUAGGAGGGGCUUCAGUGAGGCCUGCGAUGUGCAGGGACGUUUUUCUGGAGCAGCAAGGCCUGGGAGCAGGGAGGCUGCCUGGCCCUCGGCCAUGAGCCGCAACAUCAUGGAAGGCUGUGUCCGAUGUUGAGCUUCUGGCCACGUGUGGCUGUGUACAUUUAAAUUAAUUAAAAUAAAAUAAAAUUAAAAAUCCA